CCUACGGGAGGCAGCAGUGGGGAAUUUUGGACAAUGGGGGCAACCCUGAUCCAGCCAUGCCGCGUGAGUGAAGAAGGCCUUCGGGUUGUAAAGCUCUUUCGGCCGGGAAGAAAUCGCAUCUUUUAAUAGAGGGUGUGGAUGACGGUACCGGACUAAGAAGCACCGGCUAACUACGUGCCAGCAGCCGCGGUAAUACGUAGGGUGCGAGC
rnacentral:rRNA from 1 species